GCUGGGAUAGUUAAGUCAGUAGAGCAUGAGACCCUUGAUCUUAGGGUUGUGGGUUCAAACCCCAUGCUGGGCA